rnacentral:rRNA from 1 species
UAGCAGAGGUCCCAAGCGUUGUUCGGGAUUCAUUGGGACGUAAAGGGUGUGUAGGUGGCGCCGUAAGUCGGGAUGUGAAAUCUCGGGCUUAACUCCGAAACUGCAUUCGAUAACUGCGGUGCGUUGAGGACUGGAGAGGAGACUGGAAAUUCAUGGUGUAGCAGUGAAAUGCGUACGAGAUCAAUGGAGGAAGACCAGUGGCGGAAGGCGGCCUUCUGGACGGAUACAUGACGUGGAGGCGACGAAAGCCCAGGGGAGCAAACGGG